AGAAUCAACGCUGGCGGCGUGCCUAACACAUGCAAGUCGAACGCGAAAGCCCCGCAAGGGGUUAGUAGAGUGGCAAACGGGUGAGUAACACGUGGGUGACCUGCCUUCGAGUGGGGGAUAACGUCCCGAAAGGGACGCUAAUACCGCAUGACAUCCUGCUUUUGGAAAAGCGGAGAUCAAAGCUGGGGAUUCGCAAGAACCUGGCGCUUGAAGAGGGGCCCGCGCCUGAUUAGCUAGUUGGUAGGUAACGGCCUACCAAGGCGACGAUCAGUA
rnacentral:rRNA from 1 species